rnacentral:tRNA from 1 species
GCCCUCGUAGCCCAACGGCAGGAGGCACCAGGUCGAGGGCCUGGACAGUGCGCGUUCGAAUCGCGCCGAGGGCACCA